GUGCUCACUUUGGCAGCACACAUACUGAAGUUGGAACAAUACAGAGAAGAUUAGCAUGGCCCCUGCACAAGGAUAAAGUGCAAAUUUGUGAAGCAUUCCAUAUUUUU
ensembl:snRNA Gm22887 predicted gene, 22887